GAUGAUAUGUACCAUAUACCUCUUGAGAAAUCAAGACAAGUAUAUAAAGAAACUAUUAUGGAUGGUUAGCUAUAUAUUUCAAGAUAAGUAUAUCUAGGGAACAACAUAAACUAGAAAUCAUAGAGAAAUCUAAUUAUAAGACAAAGUGAAUUGAAAUAUCUUAGUAACUUUAGUAAAAGAAAUCAAACGAGAUUGUUAUUUGGUGUCUUCUGAAUAGCAAAAGCCUAUGUAAAUAAUUAUAAAUUUAUUAUAAAAUUUAUAUAAGAUAAGUAUUGGAGUGUAAGAUAUCUAAUUUUAGUUUAUUGAUUAAUAAUAAAUAAUAUAAUAUUGUUAUAACUUAAUAUUUUAUAAAAUUACAAGUUAUUCUAUUGUAAGAACUACAAUAAUUUGUAAUUUUAUAAUCUAAAUUAAUAGAUAAUAUAUUAUUGUUAUAAAAUUAUAGACAAGGAAAUUAUAUAUCUUAUACCUAAUUACUAUAUCUAAUUAUUUAUAAAAUAUACAGUAUUGUAUAUUUAAGUAUAACGGAAAAAAAUCUGUUGAAAAAUAGGGGAACCUUCCUCUAAGGCUAAAAAAAAUAUAUAAGCGAUAGAGUAACAGUACCGUGAGGGAAAUACCCUGAAAUAGUAGUUUUAUAAGCAGCUCAAGUUAAAUUUUAAAUAAAUAAUAAGAGCGUACCUUUUGCAUAAUGGGUCAGCAAGUUAAUUUUAGAUGCAAGUAACAUCUCUUUUCUAAAAAUUAUACAUACUAAAUAUGUAAUAUUAUACAAAAAAUGAUUGCUAGUUACAUGUAAUUAAGAUAAUAUAUAUUUAGUAUUAAAUGUAUAAUUAUAUUAUUUAAAUUAAUGUAAAUUGAUUAUUUAAUAUUAUUAGAAAAAUUAGGAGAUAGAUACGCAGAUAAACCAAUUAUGAAAAAAUGAAUUAGUAUCUAGAAUUAGACCCGAAGGCUAGUGAUCUUACCAUGGUCAGGGUUAUAAAAGCCCGAACGGGUUAUCGUUGUAAAGAUAUCCGAUGAACUGUGGUAAGUUAGUGAAAGACAAAACUGACUAGUAUAGCUGGUUUUCCGCGAAACCUAUGUAAGUAGGUAAUUUAAUUAACAUCUUAGCAGGUACAGAACUGUGAUCUCGGACAAUAUCUAAGAUAUUUGUCAACAUCGGGGGGUUGUAGUGACUUUACCGGAGAGUAUUUGCACUCGGAAGGGCAAAGAUGAAUGUUAAAUAAUCGGACAUAGUGCGAUAAGGUUGUAUGUCUAAAGGGAAACAGCCCAGAACAAGAGUUAAGGUUCCAAAAUUAUUGUUAAGUGAAAUUAAGGAUGUUUUUUUUUAAAACAAUCAGGAAAUAGGCUUAGAAGCGGCCAUUUUUUGAAGACCUCGUAACAGAGCACUGAUUAAUAAAUUAGGAAAAAACGCCGAAAAUUUAACGGAUCUAAAUAAUAUACCGAAACCUUGUACACAAAGAAAUAUUAAAGCUUUAGUAGGAGCUUAUUGUUAUUAAUGAGUAAUUGUGGGGUAGCGGAACAUUGGAUUAAACAAAAUAUUAAUAUUUUUCUUAAAAUAUUAAAAAAAUCUCGAAUUAAUGCACAUUAAUGAACACAAUUGCAAUAGAUUGUGUUUUUAUCUACUAUAUGAGAAUCUGUUAAAUCCAAGAGAGAAUGCUGACAUGAGUAACGAAAAAGGCUUUUAGCCUCGCCUGAAGCUUAUGGUUUCAUCUAAAAUCGGUGUCUAAAAAAAUUAAUCAAAAGAUAAUUUUGAUGACGUUUUAUGUUUUUUUAUAUAAUAAUACCAAAACCUUUAACAAGUAAUAAAGGUUCUGGAAAAGUUUAUUCAUUAUUUGAAAUGAAAAGAAUUUAAUACUUAUACUUAUUGGUAUAAAAUUGUAUAUUAUUUUUAUCAUAGUACAUACUUUAUUAUGAUAUUGUGAUUUUACAAUUUUUAGUUUAAUGAGUAUUAUAAUAAAUGGAAUUUCAAAUAAUAGUCUUAAAUCUAUUCUUAUAAUAUUAGAGAUAAUAAUUAUUAAUAUUAUAAUAACCAUUAUAUUAUUCUUAAUUAAUAACCUUUAUAUUAUUAAUAGUAAUUACCACCAUCUAUUAAUAAUUAAUAACCUUUAUAUUAUUUAUUUUUUUAAUAACCUUUAUAUUAUUAAAUAGUAUUUUUAUAUUAAACGUUAUUAUUAAUAAUACUUAAAUUAAUAGAUUAAAGAUAACUUUAUACUGGUAAAAAAAAAGAAAAGUAAAAAAAUUACAAACUAUAUAACCGUACCUAGAAACUAACUCAAGUAAGCAAGUAGAGAAUACAAAGGCGUUUGAGAGAACAAUCAUUAAGGAACUCGGCAAAUUGACUCUGUACCUUCGGAAUAAGGAGGACCAUUAUUAUUAAAUUUAACAUAUAGUAAAGUAUGAAAUUAUAUAUGAAAAAAUUAAAUUAAUAAUAAGAGGAAUCAUGAAAUAAUGUUGUACGACUGUUUAAUAAAAACACAGCACUCUGCAAAGAUAAAAAAUCAAAGUAUUGAGUGUGAUGUCUGCCCAAUGUCGGCUGGGUAACGGAUCUACCUUGAUUAUUAACUGAGGUUUUGAAGGACACCCCGAUUAAUGGCGGCCUUACCUAUGAGGGUCCUAAGGUAGCGAAAUACCUUGGCCGUUAAAUGCGGUCCUGCAUGAAUGACUUAACGAUGCAACAGCUGUCUCGAUGAUUGUCUCAGUGAAAUUGGAAUAGCAGUGCAGAUACUGUUUACCUCUAGAUAGACGAGAAGACCCUAUGCAGCUUUACUGUUACUAAUUAUAGGAGUGAAAUUUAGGAUGAUUUAUAGUGUAUAAGGUAGUUGUUUAGAUAAUAAUGAAACACCUUUAUUCGAAUCCUUAUAUAUACUCUUAAUGAUUAGAAGGCAGUUUAUGCGGGGCACAGAUCCCACAAAAAGUACCUGGGUAUAUCCAAAGUUCAUAUUGUAAACUUGUAUAUUUAUAUACAAAUAUUUUAAUUUGUUCUAAUUAUUAUUAUAAUUAUACAGUUAUUAUUCGAUUAAAUUCAAUAAUUAUUUUUAUUUUUAAGUAAGAUUUUAACUAUGCGGUGAAUAGAUGUAUUUUAAACUUUACCGGGCUUUGUACUAGUUUAGUACAAAGAUUUAAAAGUUUAUUUGUUAUAUUAAUAAAGUAUUUAUCUUUAUUAAUAUAAUGUUUAUUAAUACUUUAAAAGUUUAAUGGCUAAAUCUUGCUUUACUGUUUGACCUACAAGUCUAUCAGUCGCGUAAGCGGGGCAUAUGAUCACAAGAUGCAUUAAGGAAAGGUCUUGGAUUAUAGAAAAAGUUACGCUAGGGAUAACAGGCUAAUUUGCGCAAGAGAGUACAAAUUGAGUGCGCGGUUUGGCACCUCGAUGUCGGCUUAGCUCAUCCUCAUGCAUGCAGAAAUCAUGAAGGGUUCGACUGUUCGUCGAUUAAAGAGCUACAUGAGCUGGGUUUAAUACGUCGUGAGACAGUAUGGUUUCUAUCUUCUAGAGGAACAUAAAGUAGAUUAAAGAUAGCCCCUUCGUACGAAAGGAGUUGGGUAUAUUGAUCUCUGGUUUACCUGUUGUUUAUGGUUUAUAAUAUAACAUAUGUUAUAGUUAUAAUUAAUACUUUUACUAAGGUAUUGUUGCAUUCUUUUGACGAGGGGUGUAACUAGACAACAUAGGCAUGGCAGGAAAGCUACAUCAGUUAAAGAUAAGUGUUGAAAGCAUCUAAACGCGAAGCAAACUUUAUGAUACUUAUUUACGUAGUAGAACACUACGAGUAUAAUUGUUAUAUUUAACAAUUAAUAGGCUUUAGUUGUAAGAAUGAAAACAUUUUUAGAUAUAAAGUACUAAUUUUAAGUUUAGUAUACUAAAUAUUAUUAAAUAUCAUUAUAAUAUUUUAUAUGUUACAAUA
rnacentral:rRNA from 1 species